UACGUAGGGGGCUAGCGUUGUCCGGAAUCAUUGGGCGUAAAGCGCGUGUAGGCGGUCCGGUAAGUCCGCUGUGAAAGUCGGGGGUCAACCUCGGUGCCGGUGGAUACUGUCGGGCUUGAGUACGGAAGAGGCGAGUGGAAUUCCAGGUGUAGCGGUGAAAUGCGUAGAUAUCUGGAGGAAUACCGGUGGCGAAGGCGGCGAUCCUGG
rnacentral:rRNA from 1 species